rnacentral:rRNA from 1 species
UACGUAGGGUGCAAGCGUUGUCCGGAAUUAUUGGGCGUAAAGAGCUCGUAGGCGGUCUGUCGCGUCUGCUGUGAAAACUCAGGGCUUAACCCUGAGCUUGCAGUGGGUACGGGCAGACUAGAGUGCGGUAGGGGAGACUGGAAUUCCUGGUGUAGCGGUGAAAUUGCGCAGAUAUCAGGGAGGGAACACCGGUGGGCGAAGGCGGGUCUCUGGGCCGUAA